AACGAACGCUGGCGGCAUGCCUAACACAUGCAAGUCGAACGAGACCUUCGGGUCUAGUGGCGCACGGGUGCGUAACGCGUGGGAACCUGCCCUUAGGUUCGGAAUAACUCCCCGAAAGGGGUGCUAAUACCGGAUAAUGUCUUCGGACCAAAGAUUUAUCGCCUUUGGAUGGGCCCGCGUUGGUUUAGCUAGUUGGUAGGGUAAAAGCCUACCAAGGCGACGAUCCAUAGCUGGUCUGAGAGGAUGACCAGCCACACUGGGACUGAGACACGGCCCAGACUCCUACGGGAGGCAGCAGUAGGGAAUAUUGGACAAUGGGCGAAAGCCUGAUACAGCAAUGCCGCGUGAGUGAUGAAGGCCUUAGGGUUGUAAAGCUCUUUUACACGGGAUGAGAAUGACAGUACCGGGAGAAUAAGCUCCGGCUAACUCCGUG
rnacentral:rRNA from 1 species